rnacentral:tRNA from 1 species
GUUGAAGAGUCUGAAUUUUAGGUGGUAAAUUGUAAAUUUACUUAUGGAUUUUAUUUCCCUUUAAUA